rnacentral:rRNA from 1 species
ACGCUCGACACCUACGGGGAGGCAGCAGGUGGGGAAUAUUGCACAAGUGGGGGAAACCCUGAUGCAGCGACGCCGCGUGAAGGAAGAAGUAUCUCGGUAUGUAAACUUCUAUCAGCAGGGAAGAAAGUGACGGUACCUGACUAAGAACGCCCCGGCUAACUACGUGGCCGGCAGCCGCGGUAAUCUGAGGCGGGCUGGCAAGGC